GGGAAGCCAGAGGGGAAGAGACCACAUUUCUUCAACAAAAAAGAGUUCAGAAGCAAAGCUUCAAGCACUGUGCAAAGAGAAUUUGUGAUGGGAUAAAUAGAGUGGUUGGAUCACAGCCCCAGCACCUAAGCUGCCUGUCUGCUCCACGCUGAUGAUGAAGCAAAACCUCUGAUAAUUGGAAUGCACCACUGAACAUCCAUUAAACUAAAGAUAUCGUAAGGGCAAGCCUGCAAUAUACAUCUGGGAAAGAAGCCUCUGAUUAGUUCACAGCAAACUGCAGUCAGAAGGAGAUUCUUCUGAUGCACAAAAGGGAUCCUGAUGCUUAAAUCCUGUUGAGAGCCAAUUGGAGUUGAACACCGAACUGUCACUUGUAGCUUGGAAACAAAUGUUCCCCCAACAGCAGUUUGCCAAUUUUGACAUAAUGGUUAAAUAGUGCUAAAUACAGUUGUGAGGGCAGGACCCUGCUACAUCUUUUAGCUGUUAUUACCUUGGCCUGUUUCAGUGUCAUGAUUUUAUAGGGUGAAUUGAUUAUUGAAGACUUUUUGCAGAUUACAUAAGAAACAGUAUUUGAACAGUCCUCUGAAAAUGCAAGUUCACAUUUCAUUUUCUUACUAGGUGGAAAUUCUGCUUUGUGUUAAGUAACGCUAGUGCUUCUUCCUCCUAGGUAGCAAAGCUUUAUAAUAAUUAAAGCAGAUUCAUCCUAGCAUAUCAGAACUAUGAUGACUCUGGGUUUUUAAUUCCUGCUGUCUUGUAGGCAGCACCUUGGAAAAUAUUUAUCAUUAUUCUCCUUGGCACUGUAUAAAGGAUGACUUGUGGGGAGAAAUUACAUUAAAAUCAAAAUAGGGUUGGCAAAUUUAUUUGUUCAUUGGUUUCUCUCCUGUUGGGAACAUCAGUUCCAAUCCAGACUAGAUUAAAUCAAACUAAAAAACACCCAGAUUGCAUAGUUGUAAAGUGGCCAAGGAUGAAUGAGUUUCCUGAUCCCAACUCCCCAUAGCAAUUGCUUACAUGCCACUGAACAACCGCACGCUGAGAACAAUGGACAUCUUUGGCUUUUGAGGCUAUCAUGAAUCAAAUUAAUGUUUAUAAACUAAAAUGGCCCUUAAAUCAGUUAAAAUGGCUUUUCCCACAUGUUGCCAUAACAGAAAUGGAAGCUGUCUGUCUUUUCCAUCAGCCGUGUCCUGAGACUGCCUGUGAAAUGGGAACAGAGUCAGAAUUUCAGCUUCAUGCUUCCAGGUUUUCAGUCAGAGGGAUCAUUAAAUUAAUUGCUUAAACAAAAAA